GCGGGGGUAUGCAAAGUCUGGUCAAAUGCGCUAGACUCAAGAUCUAGUCCCUUAGUGGGUUCAGGGGUUCAAAUCCUCUCCCCCGCA
rnacentral:tRNA from 1 species